AGGUCCAGACACACCGGACGCGAUUCGACAACGCGACGCGAUUUUUCGAUUUUCACUGACCGAUAACUUUGGUUCUAAUUUAAAUUUUCCAAAUAUUUAGAAGCGCUAUAACAUUUGGAGUUAUUUGGUCUACGUAUCGUUCAAAACUUGCUCUCAUUGGCUGUUUUAUUAACUUUCAAAAACUAAAAAAUCGCGUCGCGUUGUCGAAUCGCGUCCGGUGUGUCUGGACCU
rnacentral:miRNA from 1 species